rnacentral:rRNA from 1 species
AACGGGAUGGCUUUUCAUUAGUGUAAAGAGCUUUUGGAAUAAGGGCUGGGCAAGACCGGUGCCAGCCGCCGCGGUAACACCGGCAGCUCUAGUGGUAGCAGUUUUUAUUGGGCCUAAAGCGUCCGUAGCCGGUUUAAUAAGUCUCUGGUGAAAUCCUGUAGCUUAACUGUGGGAAUUGCUGGAGAUACUAUUAGACUUGAGACCGGGAGAGGUUAGAGGUACUCCCAGGGUAGAGGUGAAAUUCUGUAAUCCUGGGAGGACCGCCUGUUGCGAAGGCGUCUAACUGGAACGGUUCUGACGGUGAGGGACGAAAGUUAGGGGCGCGAACCGGAUUAGAUACCCGGGUAGUCCUAACUGUAAACGAUGCGGACUUGGUGUUGGGGUGGCUUUGAGCUGCUCCAGUGCCGAAGGGAAGCUGUUAAGUCCGCCGCCUGGGAAGUACGGUCGCAAGACUGAAACUUAA